rnacentral:lncRNA from 1 species
CCCGCCGGUAGCCAUCUUCGUGCAUAGGCAAACUUAUUGUAGCUAGACUGUACAAAGUAUAUCAAGAUAUGCCAAAUAUUGAGCUUAACUUCACCUGUUUGAGAGACGGUGUUUCUUUUAGCUUGCAACACCAUGAAAAAAUUACUGAGACACUAGGAAUGCUGUGAACUGAGAAAGUUUGGGACCUUUGGCAUAACUAAAUCCUUCAUUUAACAGAUGGAGUCUCAGUCUGUCACUAAGGCUGGAGUGCAGUGGCGCGAUCUCGGCUCACUGCAACCUCCACCUCCCGGGUUCACGCGAUUCUCCAGCCUCAGCCUUCCACGUAGCUGGGACUACAGGUGCAUGCCACCACACCCAGUGUUGUGAACCACUUGUCAUGGGAUAACCAAAAUUAAACCUGGAAUCGCAGAAGAAACAAAUUUUUUGAAGAAAUUGGAUGUACUUUUUUAAAAUUUUUCAUUCAACUAAAACUUUGUUAACUGUUUCUUGGUUGUGGUCUUCUCUAAAUUGUAAUCUUUGGCAUUCACUUCCAAAGUAUCCACCACUAAACUUCAUAACAUUUAUUGUGUCUCUUCAUCAUUAAACUUUGAUGAAUUUACAGAGUGUCUUUUGAAAUUAUGUUCUUGAGAAAGCCAGGGGAUUGGACGGUGUCAUGGAAAUGUCAAAGAAAAAGUGACACCUGAGAGAAAAUUUGAAAGAUGAAAGUGCUGUUAAUACGGAAACUGGUCUAAUAUGGAAAACAGGUGAACAUGGAGCUGCUUUGUUUGACUCAGGGAUGAGAGAUACCCAGGUCCUAAUUACUUGUCUUUAACUUUCCUUAGGGAGUACUAAUUUGGGAGUCAUUGUUCUAAACAAUUAAAGUGAAGUAACUGUCCUGUUUUUCUCUUUUACCCUUGUGAACGAGGAAGCUCAGGGUUAAAGUCUAUGUCUUUACUUAUACAUUUCUGUGUUGUAGGAUCUUUUAAUAAAGAUUUUCUCCUUUUA